UACGUAGGGUGCGAGCGUUGUCCGGAAUUAUUGGGCGUAAAGAGCUCGUAGGCGGCUUGUCACGUCGGUUGUGAAAGCCCGGGGCUUAACCCCGGGUCUGCGGUCGAUACGGGCAUCACUGGAGUUCGGCAGGGGAGACUGGAAUUCCUGGUGUAGCGGUGAAAUGCGCAGAUAUCAGGAGGAACACCGGUGGCGAAGGCGGGUCUCUGGGCCGAUACUGACGCUGAGGAGCGAAAGCGUGGGGAGCGAACAGG
rnacentral:rRNA from 1 species